rnacentral:rRNA from 1 species
ACCCCGUGAACCUUUACUAUAGCUUGACACUGAACAUUGAGCCUUGAUGUGUAGGAUAGGUGGGAGGCUUUGAAGUGUGGACGCCAGUCUGCAUGGAGCCGACCUUGAAAUACCACCCUUUAAUGUUUGAUGUUCUAACGUGGGCCCCUUACCGGGGUUGCGGACAGUGUCUGGUGGGUAGUUUGACUGGGGCGGUCUCCUCCUAAAGAGUAACGGAGGAGCACGAAGGUUGGCUAAUCCUGGUCGGACAUCAGGAGGUUAGUGCAAUGGCAUAAGCCAGCUUGACUGCGAGCGUGACGGCGCGAGCAGGUGCGAAAGCAGGUCAUAGUGAUCCGGUGGUUCUGAAUGGAAGGGCCAUCGCUCAACGGAUAAAAGGUACUCCGGGGAUAACAGGCUGAUACCGCCCAAGAGUUCAUAUCGACGGCGGUGUUUGGCACCUCGAUGUCGGCUCAUCACAUCCUGGGGCUGAAGUAGGUCCCAAGGGUAUGGCUGUUCGCCAUUUAAAGUGGUACGCGAGCUGGGUUUAGAACGUCGUGAGACAGUUCGGUCCCUAUCUGCCGUGGGCGCUGGAGAACUGAGGGGGGCUGCUCCUAGUACGAGAGGACCGGAGUGGACGCAUCACUGGUGUUCGGGUUGUCAUGCCAAUGGCACUGCCCGGUAGCUAAAUGCGGAAGAGAUAAGUGCUGAAAGCAUCUAAGCACGAAACUUGCCCCGAGAUGAGUUCUCCCUGACUCCUUGAGAGUCCUGAAGGAACGUUGAAGACGACGACGUUGAUAGGCCGGGUGUGUAAGCGCAGCGAUGCGUUGAGCUAACCGGUACUAAUGAACCGUGAGGCUUAACCUUACAACGCCGAAG